rnacentral:RNase_P_RNA from 1 species
GGAGCGGGUCGGACGACCGCGGGUCACGGCCUCGCCGUGGCCGGAGGAAGGUCCGGACUCCACAGGGCAGGGUGCUGGCUAACGGCCAGGCGCAGCAAGCCGCAAGGCCCAAGGCGACGGAAAGUGGAACAGAAAGCAUACCGCCCAAGCGGUGCCGGAUCCCGGCGCCGCCGGCAAGGGUGAAAUGGUGAGGUAAGAGCUCACCGCGGCCGUGGCGACACGGCCGGCACGCCAAACCCCACCCGGAGCAACAUCGAAUAGGCACGCGCGGCGCCUGCGGGCGCCACAGGACGGCCCGUCCGAGCGUGCGGGUAGAUGGCUCGAGCGGCCGGGCAACCGGUCGCCCAGACGAAUGGUCGUCACGCCGGCCCGGCCGGCGAACAGAAUCCGGCCUACAGACCCGCUCCCCUC